rnacentral:rRNA from 1 species
AUACGGAGGGGGUUAGCGUUGUUCGGAAUUACUGGGCGUAAAGCGUACGUAGGCGGAUCGGAAAGUAAGGGGUGAAAUCCCAGGGCUCAACCCUGGAACUGCCUCUUAAACUCCCGGUCUUGAGUUCGAGAGAGGUGAGUGGAAUUCCUAGUGUAGAGGUGAAAUUCGUAGAUAUUUGGAGGAACACCAGUGGCGAAGGCGGCUCACUGGCUCGAUACUGACGCUGAGGUACGAAAGUGUGGGGAGCAAACAGGAUUAGAAACCCUAGUAGUCC